GAUGAACGCUAGCUACAGGCUUAACACAUGCAAGUCGAGGGGUUUGCUUCGGCAAACGACCGGCGCACGGGUGAGUAACGCGUAUCCAACCUGCCCUUCAUAUUGGUAUAGCCUCCCGAAAGGGAGAUUAAUCCCGAAUAACAUGGUACCGUUGCAUGACAUUACCAUGAAAGCUCCGGCGAUGAAGGAUGGGGAUGCGUUCCAUUAGGUAGUAGGCGGGGUAACGGCCCACCUAGCCGACGAUGGAUAGGGGUUCUGAGAGGAAGGUCCCCCACACUGGAACUGAGACACGGUCCAG
rnacentral:rRNA from 1 species